UAGUGCCGCAGGGGAAGCUGUUAAGUCUGCCGCCUGGGGAGUACGAUCGCAAGAUUGAAACUUAAAGGAAUUGGCGGGGGAGCACCACAAGGGGUGAAGCUUGCGGUUCAAUUGGAGUCAACGCCGGGAAUCUUACCGGGGGCGACAGCAGCGUGAAGGUCAAGCUGAAGACUUUACCAGACAAGCUGAGAGGAGGUGCAUGGCCGUCGCCAGCUCGUGC
rnacentral:rRNA from 1 species